rfam:Desulfobacterales bacterium S5133MH4 k99_1485628, whole genome shotgun sequence.
AGGCACGUAGCUCAGGGGGAGAGCGCUACCCUGACACGGUAGAAGUCGCGAGUUCAAAUCUCGCCGUGCCUA